AACAAAGGGGAAAAAAAUGCUCCCCAUUUUUGUCAGAGCCCAGAUGAUUUCUCUUUUUCCGUUCAUCAUUUGGGGCUGAGGGGGACGUAACUCAGUUAAAGACAGAAACAUUAAACGCGCAGUAAAACCAUCACACGUGCAGGAUUGAUAGGGGUAUUGAUUAACGCCAUCAGUAAAGUAUUUACCUUAAUCAAUAGGAAAAGGUGAUUUAAAUGUUUAGGUGUCUACCGCGCUUGAGUCGGCCAAGGCUUCCUUAGGAGCAUGAUUUCAUGUGAUGCACGCCUCCCUUCGCCCGUGUGCGCCCCUUAGCAAAGUUAAUUGCCACGGCUGAAGCCCCCUCUCCACACCACCAUGGUUGCUUUUGAGUCCUGUUGCAGGUUGGGUUCUCCUGGAGGAGAUUCUGAGCUGGAGUUUUGGGUGCAAGAUGUUUGGUUAAGAAUCGGCGUCUGUGAGGGAAUGGGAGGAAAUGAGUGGGCAGAGGAAGAAGUUGAAGGGUGAGGCAGCCCCACAAAGACACGGUCAAGGGACUGGAGCUCUGGAGCCAGAGGUGCCCCUCAGUGGGCAUCAGGCCCUUGUACCCCUACCCCACCCAGUUGCCCGCCUCCCCAGGAAGGGCAUGACCUUGGGCGAGGGGUCUCUCUGCCGCUCAGGCAGACGCUGAAGGAGCUGAGAGCUGGAAGCUGCCUGCAGACCCCACUUCCCACAGCUGGGCAGCCAGGCCUCCCCGGAAGGGAGGUCUGGGAAGCAUAUUCCCCAGUCGGCCACAACCCCAGAGGGUAUCCAAACGCCAUCACAUGCUAACCCUGACUGCUGGGAGGCUUUGUUCAAAGGAGGCGGUCCAUCAGGGGCUGUUUGAAACCAAGGUUGACUAUUUCUCCUAAUGCACUCUGGACCCAUUGGGACUCUGCGGUGACGUGGUUGAGGUGUAGAAACUUCUAGUCAUUUAGGGAUAUUGGAAAAGACACUUGGCCAGGAGGUCGCCUGAAUUCUAGCCCCACGUUAGAACCUUCUUUCUGAGUGUCACUUUCUCAGGCCCCUUCCCUGUGCUGGGCUUCAGACUCCACAUCUUACAAAAAGGGUAUGUUGCCUUAGAAGCGUGUUGCCCGACUUUCCCAGCCACUGGAAUGCCCUGUGGAACAUUUAUUUAAAUUCAGGUUCCAGACCCCUACCUGAAAUCUCCGGGGAAGCAGCCUAGGAGUCUGGCUUUUUCAUCAGAGCCACAGAUGAUCCUUAUGACCUGCUGAUUGUGAAAGUGGACUAGGAGCCCCUCAGCCAGACCAGCUGUGUCGGGUUCACCAGGAAAAGUUCGCAAGGUGGAGAUCCUCCAGCCCCGUGCCGGAAGAUUUUGAUUCAAAUUCUGCAUUUAAAUAUAAACAGCAAUGAUGAUAAUCAAUAGAACAGAUCAAUUGCAUUCCUGGCCCUAAUUCUUCCCUUGUAACCCCGCCCUUCUCACGUGACUUUGAUUUCCCAAAACUGUAGAGUAUAUUUCCCUCCCCGCAAUGUGACACGUUUGGCCGAUAGAAGAGGUGGGUAGGAGAGACUGUGCAUCAGUUCCAGUCCUUGGCCUCCAGAGGCCUGGCCUAUUUCUACCUACUCAUUUGUGCUCCUGUCAUCGCCACGAGAAGUUCAUGCCCGGCCUGGUCUGUUGGUCCCAGGAGAAGGACAAGAGAUACACGUGGAGCAGAGCUGCCCAGCUACCGUGUGCCGGCCGAGCCCAGCCUUGAGCUGACCCCCAGCCGACCUGCAGGUGCAUGAGUGCACCAGCCUGGAUCAGCCAACCUCCAGCUGCCCCCAAGACUAACGGUCCUUCUAGUUGUGGCAUGUGGGACGCUGCCUCAGCGCGGUCUGAUGAGCAGUGCCAUGUCCGCGCCCAGGAUUCGAACUAACGAAACACUGGGCCGCCUGCUGCGGAGUGCGCGAACUUAACCACUCGGCCACAGGGCCAGCCCCUAGAGGGUAUUUUGGAUUUGGCAGAAUAGCCUUCGUCUGUGAAGAGUAGAACUUAAUUAUCAAAAGCUGAACCGGAGCGAGCAAUCCAUCACUGGGUGACACAUCCUUGCCUGUGUUCAUUUGAAAAACAUUUUUUUGUGGCUCUUGGAAGAGAGGGGAUAAAAAAGCUGUCAGAACCAAAAAAGAAAAAAAAGAAAAAAAAAGAAGAGGAAGGGAAAAGAAGGAAAAAAUCUCUCUUGGCAUUCCUCAUUCCACAAC
rnacentral:lncRNA from 1 species